AUGCAAGUCGCGUGCGCAGUUGCCGUAGCAAUACGGUGAUGGGCGCACGGCGCACGGGUGCGUAACACGUGGGCAAUCUGCCCUUUGAUGGGGAAUAACCCGCCGAAAGGCGGGCUAAUUCCGCAUAAGAUUCUUUGGACCUCGGUCUGAAGAUUGAAAGCAGCAAUGCGUCGAAGGAGGAGCCCGCGCCCGAUUAGCUAGUUGGUGAGGUAAUGGCUCACCAAGGCAAUGAUCGGUAGCUGGUCUGAGAGGAUGAUCAGCCACACUGGAACUGAGACACGGUCCAGACUCCUACGGGAGGCAGCAGUGGGGAAUCUUGCACAAUGGGCGAAAGCCUGAUGCAGCGACGCCGCGUGGGGGAUGAAGCAUUUCGGUGUGUAAACCCCUUUCGACUGGGAAGAAUGCCUCGCAAGAGGAGUGACGGUACCAGUAGAAGAAGCCCCGGCUAACUACGUGCCAGCAGCCGCGGUAAGACGUAGGGGGCCAGCGUUGUUCGGAAUUACUGGGUGUAAAGGGUUCGUAGGCGGUGCGGCAAGUUGGGAGUGAAAUCUCUGGGCUUAACCCAGAGGCUGCUUCCAAAACUGCUGUGCUCGAGUGUGAGAGAGGCUCGUGGAAUUGCAGGUGUAGCGGUGAAAUGCGUAGAUAUCUGCAGGAACACCCGUGGCGAA
rnacentral:rRNA from 1 species